rnacentral:rRNA from 1 species
GACGAACGCUGGCGGCGUGCCUAAUGCAUGCAAGUCGCACGCACCCUUCGGGGUGAGUGGCGCACGGCUGAGGAACACGUGGGAAUGUGCCCAUUGGCGGGGGAUAACGGGCCGAAAGGUCCGCUAAGCCCGCAUACGCUCGCAAGAGGAAAGGCGCAAGUCGCCGAUGGAGCAGCCCGCGGCCCAUCAGGUCGUUGGUG